CGAGAGGAUCUUCUAGAAGGUUGCCUAGUUUUUUUCUUUGAUGUGGAUGAUAAUGCAGCUUCAUUCUGUUUGCUCUUCCUAGGCGCGGAUGAUGAUUUACCUCCACUCUGUCUUGUGCGCUUAGGUUUAGGUGUGGAUGACAAUUUGGCUCCACUUUGUUUUCUUCGCUUAGGCGUGGAUGAUAAUGGUUCCCCAUUCUCUUCUGUUUGCUUAGGUGUUGAUGAUGCAGUUACAGUACUUCUUCUUUUCCUCAGGGAAGAAUGAACAUUAUUUGCUUUCUCUUCUUCUUGACCU
rnacentral:lncRNA from 1 species